rnacentral:rRNA from 1 species
CCUACGGGAGGCAGCAGUCGAGAAUCAUUCACAAUGGGGGAAACCCUGAUGGUGCGACGCCGCGUGGGGGAAUGAAGGUCUUCGGAUUGUAAACCCCUGUCAUGUGGGAGCAAAUUAAAAAGAUAGUACCACACGAGGAAGAGACGGCUAACUCUGUGCCAGCAGCCGCGGUAAUACAGAGGUCUCAAGCGUUGUUCGGAAUCACUGGGCGUAAAGCGUGCGUAGGCUGUUUCGUAAGUCGUGUGUGAAAGGCGCGGGCUCAACCCGCGGACGGCACAUGAUACUGCGAGACUAGAGUAAUGGAGGGGGAACCGGAAUUCUCGGUGUAGCAGUGAAAUGCGUAGAUAUCGAGAGGAACACUCGUGGCGAAGGCGGGUUCCUGGACAUUAACUGACGCUGAGGCACGAAGGCCAGGGGAGCGAAAGGGAUUAGAUACCAUUGUAGUC